rnacentral:lncRNA from 1 species
UUGCCCGCCAAAUUCAGCGAAAAAGAAUUUUUUAAAUAAAGACGCGUUUAUUACUUUUCACUUAAAGUGAAUAGUAACCCGCAUUUCUGGCGAUGAUAAGAGAGAGAGGUUGGCUUCGGAUAUGAAUUGAACUCCAUUCUGGGCGAUCCAAUAGCUCAUUUUCAAUUGCCCGACUGUGUGGGAGCCAAUGGCGCUGACGGAUUUUAUGUUUGACGCACGGCUUUCAAGAAAAUGGGUUUUAUUGCUGAAAGGGUUUUUAUU